GUCACAGAACGAGACUCUAAAUGCUGCUGCAUCACACACAGCACAGACGAGAGAAAGAGGGAGAGAAAGAGCGUGUGAGAGAAGAAACAGAAGAACAAAAAGUCUGAAAAGCGUUAAAUGUCGAAGCCGAGAGAGAGAGAUCGUGAGCACCGGGAAGCAGUAUGAAGCUUGUUCUGUCUGAGCUUUUUUAAGCUUCAUAGUGAAGAUGCAGCAGCACCACCUUCUGGUAACAGCAAGUAUGAGUAAAGAAGACACCAGAGAGGGACAGAGUUGAACUGUAAGUCACAGCGCGGGAAUACCACAAGCCUCUGCCACGCCCACCAAACUACACCUCACAUGGCCAACAUAUGCCUUGGGACGAGGGAUGGAGGCCGAGACUCAGAGAAAAAGUGUAGGAGAAGAAAAGGCGGGAAAAACGACACGCUAUUCGGCUUACAGUAGCCUUGUGCUGCCUCAUGUAGUAGUGGUCACUGACAGCAUGAUCUCUCAAUCAUCACAGCAUGUGUGUUUUAUGUAAUGGGCUACACUUCAUAGAAACAUGCUGACUGAGAAACAGAUGUAACGCUGGCUAUGUUCACAGUGUCUGGGCGAGACAAAAGUUCCCAAAAACAAAACUAUCUUGCAAA